GAUGAACGCUGGCGGCGUGCCUAAUACAUGCAAGUCGAGCGAACAGACGAGGAGCUUGCUCCUCUGACGUUAGCGGCGGACGGGUGAGUAACACGUGGAUAACCUACCUAUAAGACUGGGAUAACUUCGGGAAACCGGAGCUAAUACCGGAUAAUAUAUUGAACCGCAUGGUUCAAUAGUGAAAGACGGUUUUGCUGUCACUUAUAGAUGGAUCCGCGCCGCAUUAGCUAGUUGGCAAGGUAACGGCUUACCAAGGCAACGAUGCGUAGCCGACCUGAGAGGGUGAUCGGCCACACUGGAACUGAGACACGGUCCAGACUCCUACGGGAGGCAGCAGUAGGGAAUCUUCCGCAAUGGGCGAAAGCCUGACGGAGCAACGCCGCGUGAGUGAUGAAGGUCUUCGGAUCGUAAAACUCUGUUAUUAGGGAAGAACAAAUGUGUAAGUGACUAUGCACGUCUUGACGGUACCUAAUCAGAAAGCCACGGCUAACUACGUG
rnacentral:rRNA from 1 species